rnacentral:rRNA from 1 species
UACGUAGGGUGCGAGCGUUAAUCGGAAUCAUUUGGGCGUAAGGGGUGCGUAGACGGCUUACUAAGUCAACUGUUUAAUUCUCCGGCCUAACUGGAGGUCAGCGGUAGAAACUGGUAUGCUUGAGGUUGGAAGAGAGAAGUGGAAUUCUCGGAGUAGCGGUAAAAUGCGUAGAUCUCGAGAGGAACACCGAUGGCGAAGGCAGCUUCUUGGUCCAAAUCUGACGUUGAGGCACGAAAGCGUGGGGAGCAAACAGG